rnacentral:misc_RNA from 1 species
GUGGGAGGGGGCUUGCCCCCGAUAGCGGCGUGUCAGUUUGCAUCUCUUUUUCUGAAACACAUCCAUCGGGGGCAAGCCCCCUCCCAC